UACGAAAGGGGCUAGCGUUGUUCGGAAUUACUGGGCGUAAAGCGCACGUAGGCGGCCUUGUAAGUUGGGGGUGAAAUCCCGGAGCUCAACUCCGGAACUGCCUUCAAGACUGCAAAGCUCGAGGACGCGAGAGGUUAGCGGAAUUCCGAGUGUAGAGGUGAAAUUCGUAGAGAUUCGGAAGAACACCAGUGGCGAAGGCGGCUAACUGGCGCGUUGCUGACGAUGAGGUGCGAAAGAGUGGGGAGCAAACAGG
rnacentral:rRNA from 1 species